rnacentral:rRNA from 1 species
UACGUAGGGCGCAAGCGUUAUCCGGAAUUAUUGGGCGUAAAGAGCUCGUAGGCGGCCUGUUGCGUCCGCUGUGAAAUCCCGGGGCUCAACCCCGGGCCUGCAGUGGAUACGGGCUGGCUGGAGGCAGGCAGGGGAGAACGGAAUUCCUGGUGUAGCGGUGAAAUGCGCAGAUAUCAGGAGGAACACCGGUGGCGAAGGCGGUUCUCUGGGCCUGUUCUGACGCUGAGGAGCGAAAGCGUGGGGAGCGAACAGG